AAUCAAGCGUUUAAGGGCGUGUAGUGGAUGCCUUGGCACUGAAAGCCGAUGAAGGACGUGAUAUACUGCGAUAAGUUUCGGGGAGCUGUAUGUAAGUUUUGAUCCGAAAAUUUCCGAAUGGGGAAACCCACCACUUUAUGUGGUACUUUAAACUGAAUACAUAGGUUUAAAGAGACAACCUGGAGAACUGAAACAUCUAAGUAACCAGAGGAAAAGAAAUCAAUUGAGAUUCCGUUAGUAGUGGCGAGCGAACGCGGACUAGGCCAGUAAUUUUGUUAAAAAAAUUUGAAUAGUUUGGAAAUGCUAACCAUAGAGGGUGAUAGUCCCGUAUGAGUAAUGUUUAACAAAAUUCUUGAGUAAAGCGGGACACGAGAAAUCCUGCUCGAAUAUAGGGGGACCACCCUCUAAGCCUAAAUACUCUUCAGUGACCGAUAGUGAACUAGUACCGUGAGGGAAAGGUGAAAAGAACCCCUAUUAGGGGAGUGAAAUAGAACCUGAAACUGCAUGCCUACAAUCAGUCCGAGCCUUUUUUAGGGUGAGGGCGUACCUUUUGUAUAAUGGGUCAGUGACUUAAUUUAUUAAGCAAGCUUAAGCCAUCUAGGUGUAGGCGCAGCGAAAGCAAGUCUUAAUAGGGCGAUUAGUUUAAUGAAUUAGACCCGAAAACGAAUGAGCUUACCAUGAGCAGGUUGAAAGUUGGGUAACACCAACCGGAGGACCGAACCAGUUGACGUUGAAAAGUCUUUGGAUGACUUGUGGUAAGGGGUGAAAGGCCAACCAAAUUCGUAGAUAGCUGGUUUUCCGCGAAAACUAUUUAGGUAGUGCGUUGAAUAAAUAGAUGUUUAGAGGUAGAGCACUAAAUGGGCUAGGGGGAAGAGAUUCUUACCAAACCUAAUAAAACUCCGAAUGCUAGACAUUGUUCUUCAACAGACAGACUGUGGGUGCUAAGGUCCAUGGUCGAGAGGGAAAGAGCCCAGACCACCAGAUAAGGUCCCCAAAUUAUGAUUAAGUGUGAAAGGAUGUGGAAAUUCCUUAACAGCCGGGAGGUUGGCUUAGAAGCAGCCAUCCUUUAAAGAUAGCGUAACAGCUCACCGGUCUAACAGAGUUUCUGCGCCGAAGAUGUAACGGGGCUAAAAUCAUAUACCGAAUCUGUGGGUUUAUAAAACUUUCGAGUUUUAUAAGCGGUAGCGGAACGUUCUGUAAGCCUGUGAAGGGAUACCCGUGAGGGAUCCUGGAGGUAUCAGAAGUGCGAAUGCUGACAUAAGUAACGAUAAAAGAAGUGAAAAACUUCUUCGCCGAAAAUCUAAGGGUUUCUGCGCAAGGUUAAUCCGCGCAGAGUUAGUCGGCACCUAAGGCGAGGGCGAAAGCCGUAGUCGAUGGAAACAAGGUUAAUAUUCCUUGACCUGAUGGUAGUGACGGAUUCCGUAAGUUGUGAGUUCUUAAUGGAUUGAACUUGCCGCGAAGGGGUCCCAAGAAAUAGCUCCAUCAUUAAGACCGUACCCGAAACCGACACAGGUAGAUUAAUAGAGUAUAUUUAGGCGCUUGAGAGAAUGAUGUUGAAGGAACUCGGCAAAAUGCUUCCGUAACUUCGGGAUAAGGAAGACCCU
rnacentral:rRNA from 1 species